rnacentral:tRNA from 1 species
GACAACAUAGUUUAAGAUUAGAUGACUGCUUUGCGUGCUGUUGGUGAAUAUACUAUUCUGUUGUUG